rnacentral:misc_RNA from 1 species
UAUUUAUUCUACUAUCUGUCCUAUAGAAAAAAAAAAUACAUAAAUACCUGUAAUUGGACUAGAGAAGACAAAAAGUAGCAGAGGUGGAGGCAUGGAGCACUGUAUAGCAAUCCAAGUGACUCCUUUCCUUCUUCUGGCUUGCCGGGUCCCUACGACUCUUUUUCCUUCUUCUUUUUCCCCCGACUUUCUUUGGGUUCAUGCAAAUUUCUUUUUCUUUUUUC